rnacentral:ncRNA from 1 species
UUAAAGUUAAUUCUAGCUUUGAUAUUUAUUAUUUAUUUAAUUAAAUUGUAUAUAAAUUUUUGUGGUAAUUUAAGAUAUAACUUUAAAAGUUAUAUAAUUCAUUUAAUAUAAUAUUUAAUAUUAAAAAUUAAAGAAAUUUAGAUUUAGUAAUAUAAAAAUUAUUGAUAAAAUUUGUGCCAGCAAUCGCGGUUAUACUAAUAAUAAAAUAAAUAUUUUUAUUUUAAUUAAUAUUUUGUUUUAAAAAUAAAAAUUUAAUUUAUAGGGUAAAAUAUUAAAUUAAAAAUUUUUUUUUAUUAUAAAUUUAUAUGAAGUUAAUAAAUAUUUUAAAUAAACUAGGAUUAGAUACCCUACUAUAAAAUUAAAGAAAAAAAAAUAAGUAGUAAUAGUUAUAUUCUUGAAACUUAAAGAAUAUGGCAGUAUUUUAAUCUAUUUAGAGGAACCUGUUUAUUAAUUGAUAAUCCACAAUUUAUUUUACUUAAUUUUAUUUAAUUUGUAUAUCGUUGUUAUAAAAAUAUUUUUUAGAAAAUAAAAAUUUUAGAUUUUUAAGAUAAAAUUAUAUCAAAUCAAGAUGCAGUUUAUAUUUAAGAAUGUAAUGGGUUAUAAUAAAUUAAUUUUUGGAUAAAUUUAAUGAAAUAUAAAUUUGAAAGUAGAUUUAAAAGUAAUUUAAGCUAAUUAGCUUAAAUGAUGUAAGUUCUAAAAUAUGUACAUAUUGCCCGUCACUUUCAUUUUAAAUUGAAAUAAGUCGUAACAUAGUAGAAGUACUGGAAAGUGUUUCUAGAAAGAU